CAAGCAGAGAGGAGGCGGUAGUAGGGAAGGGACACGUUGCUUGGUGCAGCUGAAACUGUGUAUAGGUCAAAGUUUUCCAACUGUUUUGGUCCCAUGUCUCUUUCUGCAGAAGCUCUAAACUUGAUUUUUAAAGGAGCUGACUGGCCGAGAUAGAAACGGAGGGUUCAGAGGCCCACUAAUUAAUUCACCCUCCCCUUUUCUGGGAGGCUGCCCUGAGGCCCCAGCGUAGACCUCUUGGAGUUCCCUGGGUCACAGUUUACAAAGCAGCCACGCCCUUCUGGCUUCUACCUGGUGUGUACAAACCUGCCUUGAACCCAUCAGAGAGCUGAAGUUGUAGGGCAACAACUAGCCUCAAAUCUAAGGAAAAACAGGCACCUCCAAGGAGAGAUUGGCUUCUCUGUUGCACAGCUUAAGACAGAGGAAGGUGGGUCUGCUGUACAAUAGGCCUGGAGCUGGCACCAUGACACGUCAGUGCAUUCUGGUCAAGGCAAGUUAGGGGGCUCAGAUUCAAGGCAAAGAGAGGGGUCUCUUGAUGGUUGGAGCAGUUUGCAGAGAUAGGGAAGAAAAGAGUCAACUAUGGCCAACCUUGUGGAUUACCCAGUACGCUAAAUUUACCAUGUUUUCAUUUCUUUCCCUUGUCUUUGGCUUGCUUUCUUUCUUACUGUCCCUUUUUAUGGCCACACCCAUGGCUUAUGGAAGGUCUCAGGUUUGGAGUUGAAUCAGAGCUGCAGCUACCGGCCCACAUAUACCACAGCCACAGCAGCACUGGAUCCGAACCACGUCUGUGACCUAUGCUGCAGCUUGGGGCAACGCUGGAUCCUUAACCCACUGAGUGAGGACAGGAAUCGAACCCAUGCCCUCACGGAGACUGUUGGGUUUUUAACCCACUGAGCCACAAUGGGAAUUCCUGUUUUUGUUUUUUGUUCUCAUCUUCUAAUAAUAUUCUCUUCCCAAAUCUGCAUCCAUUAAAAUACAACCCAUUCUGCAAGGCCCAGCCUAAAUGCUACCACCUUCAUGAAAGGACUGACCAUGUAAUUUGUCACACAAAUUGGGACACUUGUGAAAAUGGAAGAGAGAGCUGAAAGGACAAGGAUAAACUAGGAUUGUCCCUGGCAAACUGGGACAUAUAAUAGCUACUCAUGAGCCUCUCCCUGGUUUUUCUGCUUGUGGGUAAUCUUCCUCUUCUGCUGAAUUAGUUCAUAUCUCUGAUGGGACACAUCGCAUUCUUCCCGGUAUUUUGGGUGCAAAUAACUGCCAAUACUCUAUUAAUUGUAAAUUCUUGGAAAGAAGAUUCACUGUCUUAAUUAUUAGUCUUUCCCAGUGCAUUUAGCACAGAACUGUGCAUAUAGUAUGUACCCAGUUGUGAGCUGAAGAAGAGAGUGGAAAACUGAAGAAGGCCAACACUCAGGUUCUUAGGUCCUUAAAAAUGUCUUACAGAAUUGUAUGCCACUACUCAGUCAGAGUUGUGGUCACUCUCCCUCCUUUCCUAACUGUUCAUCCUAUCCUGGCUAGGUGGUUUAAUAGCUGAGCAUCUAGGUUUCUUCAUCCCCAAAAUGGGGCAAAUUAUACCUGUGCUACCUGUUUCAUAGGGAUCUUGUACAGGUGAGGGACAUGAUGCAUGCAAAAGCACCUUGCGUUAUUACCUGUGGAAGCGCCUCUAUGGGUGCAAGCCAAUAUUAUUAUUUCAGUUUGCUUAUUAAUUUCCAACUGCGUAGUCCAGAUAACCUCUUAAUCACUUGCUAAGUUGUUCUGUCCAGUGGAAGUUCAGACGUGAAUUCCUUUUUUCCAAAAUUCUAACUCUGUUUAAAAUGAGAUGCAGCACACAGCCCUCCGAAGUAACCAGAAGCAGACAUAAACACUUGCAUUUGAAGUGGGUAAGCAAUGAGGUCCUGCUGUAGAGCACAGGGAACUACAUCUAGCUGCUUGUGAUGGAACAUGAUGGAGGAUAAUGUGAGAAAAAGAAUGUAUAUAUGUAUGUGUGACUGGGUCACUUUGCUGUACAGCAGAAAUUGACAGAACAUUGCAAAUCAACUAUAAUAGAAAAAAUAAAAAUCUUAAGAAAAAUAAAGUUAUAUUAAAGAAAAGAAGUAAGCAGCUGCAAGUCUCAGCCCAGUUAUCUCCAUCUCUUGCUGACCAUGUGAGCAGGUCACUUUGCUUCUUAGAAUCUGCUUCCAUAUUUUUAAAAUAAUACCUAUUCUGUCCCAGAGGGUAGUGUGAGGCUCAAAUGAAGUGCAUGUGAAAAUCCUUUUGAAAUAAAUAUAAAGAAUCAGGCAGGUAGUGAUUAUUUCAGAUUACUCUUUUGUUUGAUGGCUUUCUGCCUUAUGUUUGAUUUUUUUUAUCAGUCUGUAUGUUUAUCUAUAACUUUAUCUAGCUAUCUGUCUGUCAUCUAUCAGUCAUUCUAUCCGCCUAUCUGUGCACCUAUGUAUCUAUGAUAUUUAUCUAAUAUCUAUUCUUUUUUUAAUCAAUGUAUCAAUAUUUGUGUGUGUAUAUGUGAAUUUGUUAUCACACAUUUGGAAUUUUUGAGUGUCUCAAUGCUUUAAAGUGUUUCUCAAGGGUUUGGAGUUUCUUCCAUCUUUUUUAGAGAAAGGAACCAUUUUAACCUAAUUUCUUACACAAACACAAGCUGUGGAGCAAAGCGAAGUUUCUCUUUCAGGGGACGGUAUCAUGUGCGUCUUAAACAAAGAUUUAGGCAAUUAAAAAACUUUGGUGGUGCAAAUGGUAUGAAGGACCUCUGACCUCCCAGUAACCCAGAGUCCUACGGUUCCAGACUUAAGGAAGAUGUUAUUGUGCCCAUAAAUCCUUACUCUAGCCUCCUGAGAGGUCCACAGAAGCAAGAAAGGGCAGCGAUGGUGCUGGUGGUAGGGCUGGUGGUAAACCCCAGCCGGGAGUCCUGGGAACCAGAACUCAUCGUAGGUAACUGUCAGGGUUGUUUCAUGCUGUAUGCUUCAUGCUGUAUGCUAAUGCCACUUUGUUUUUGCACCUCGAGUGGGGCUGAUGCUGUUUCCGAAGCCCGGCGGCAUUUUCCGAUUUGAUGCCAACUCCCCUGUUGUCAGCUGUCACUCCUGAACCAUGUGUCAUGGAGCCCUCCUGCUGUAGACACCGAAGAGAAAUCGCUCUCUCGCCAUCACAGCGUGGUUGCAGCCCCGAAGCCACAUUGUUUGCACUCAGCAUCCACCCAGGAUUGUUUGUUCCCUUCCUUGCAAGGCAUUGGGUAUUCGGUGCUCUAGUCAAGCCAUGGGUUCUCCCUCCCCGCUCUCUCGCUCCCCCCGACGUGGAAUUCUUGUCAGAGUCUUUUCAGAGUGGUUCUCCAAAGCUCCGAGGACUUCCUGAAUUAUAAGAAUUUGCCAGACCCAAGCUGCAGUGAAGAUGCCAGUCUGUCUGCUGUAAGGAGGAUUGAUUUUGGGGUAUCUCUGAAGCUUUUUGUUUUAUUCUACUCAGAGUCAAGAGAACCUCUCUUGAGGACAGUGAAAUAUGCCCUGGCACAUUUCUCCUGAGCACAUGUUUAUAUUUCAGCAUGAAAGAGCCCCCUAAGCAUGCUAAGAAUUUAUCCAGCGAAGGUUGCAAUUUCUCAAGUCCCUUAUAAAGUCAUUAUGGUUGAUUUGACCUCUGGGAUAAUACACAUCUCACAGUGCAGAAGAAUAUCAGUGUACACAUUUUUUGAUCAUGGCAGAACUCUAUUUAGACAUAAUUACUGAUGUGUAUGAGGGCAUGUUUUCAUAGCUUUAUUUCUCUCUUAGAUAAUAGGACCUGUGCCCUUCAAAAAGUCAUAGCACCUUAGGAGGUGCUAUUUUAGUUACAUAGUAGAGAUUCUCUUGUUCCCACUCUUAAUUCGUCACCAGAAGAGGUGAGGCUUUGUUUUCUUGUGUGUUUAAUUAUUUCACCCUUCACAAUGUAAGGAAAUCUUCUGGGAAAAUACCACAUACUUUUCAACUUUUUAGACCAAAAACAUUCCAUGUAAUUUGAUGCCUUUUUUGGGGGGGGAUGACUCAAGGGUCAUUCAUUACUGACUACAGCUUUUCCCAAAUUGGUGUCAGCAGAACAGUUAUCCACUGCAUAUCAAUAGGUAUCUAAGAAAAACAAUGCUCUGUGAUUAAAUAAAUUGAGUAAAUACUGGGUAAAUAAAAUAAGUCUCUUUCUUUUCUUUUUCUUUUUUUUUGCAGAUCCACUUAGAGCCUUUAUCCUGUUCAUGUAUAUUUUAGGUUUCCAAGGAGAGUUAGAGAAUGGAGUUUUUCUCAGAUAUAAGGGUCCAGAGAACCCCCUUUGUGUUAGAUUGUUAUAGUUCCUGAAGAAAAAUCUUUAGAAAAUUUGGGGAAAAUGCUGCUUUAGUGUGAUAAGUCUCUAGGGCUAUCUAUAUAUACGGAGUUAUUUGCCUCUAUAUUGAGUAACUGCAACAGCUGCUGAAUUUUUUGGUCCGCUUUUAAAAUACCAUUUCUGUGCCUUCUUCGUUUUUACCGUUUCCGGUUGUCACUCUGAGUGUUUUGGCCUCUCCUAAAGGCCUGAUACCCUCCCCUCACCCCACCUCCGUUAUGAUUGGCACCCGUAUAAUUGAUUAUUCAGAUCAGAAUACUUUUGGGGAAGUGAAAAGGAGCUGUUCAUACUUAUUCAGGGACAAAAGCUAUAAGCUCUGACUCUCCAGGGCAAACCAAGAUUGUUAUGGCUAACACAAAAUCAAAACAAAUCAACCUAAUUAAACAAGAGAGGGGUUUUAUCGGCUCAUGUAGCUGGAAAAUCUCAGCGGCGUGUGGUGUGGCUCGGGUCAGAGUUCUGGCUUUGUUUUCCAGGCUCCACGUGUAGGGUUUACCCGUGCACCCGUCUGCAUCACGGUACGAAGUAAUCGUGGUGUUCUCAGGUUGUGCAUCUGGUCAUCCGCUGCACCGUUUGCCGUCAGAGAAGAGGCGCGUCUUUGCCCAGAAUUCUUAGUAGAAAUCCCGAGCUUUGUGCUGAUUGAACAAACUCCUCAGCCAAGCCCCAGGAACUCCAAGUGCUUAUGGGUAUGGAUGUGAGGCAGCAGUUAGCGUGGAAGGAGAUGGGAAACUCUGAGAUUGCCAUGGUUUUCAGAGACUAUCCCUGGAGGUGGGACUCCAUCCUAUCUGGCGAGAAUGGCUACUACACAUUGGAGGCGGGGUGGAAUGGAUGUUGGGGAGAGGUGUUGUCUGCUAUACAUUGCGCCUUAGUAGUUCCCCCAAUCCUGUGAGAGAUUUGGUGACCUAUUAGCAUUUUGUGUAAACUAGUAAGAAGGCUCCAAAGGCCCUCCUGUAACGAAUGUGCAUGAACACUGAGUUUGUCACAUGUGUUUGGACGGUGCAGAGGCUUUUUUGCUUUCUUUCUAAUUCUCAGUUGUUUUCCAGGUACUUGAGGCCAAAUAGCAGAGCGGUAGAUAGAUGGAGUACUGAAGAAAGAUUUGGUCGGUAAAUUACUGAGAAAAUAUUAAGAAUACAUCCCCUAAUCGGAUUGGUUUUGACGGUUUUAUUAUACGUGUAAUGUAUUUUCAUCACUAAAAAUACCGAAAAGAUAUAUAAGCAAUUUGAGGAUAAUAAAAACCAUAUGUAAUCCCAUUGCCCUGACAUGGAUAAGCAAUGAGAUCCUGCUGUAUAGCACUGGGAACUAUAUCUAGUCACUUAUGAUGGAGCACGAUGGAGGAUAAUGGGAGAAAAAGAAUGUAUCACUUUGCUGUAUAGUAGAAAAUUGACAUAACAUAGAAAAAAAAAA
ensembl:lncRNA